CUUGGUGCUUUAGCGAUGGGGAUACACCUGUUCCCAUUCCGAACACAGAAGUUAAGCCCAUCAGCGCCGAUGGUAGUUAGGAGUGAUACCCUGGCAAGAGUAGGCCAGUGCCAAGC
rnacentral:rRNA from 5 species